AUUGAACGCUGGCGGCAGGCCUAACAAAUGCAAGUCGAGCGAGCGGCGGACGGGUGAGUAAUGUCUGGGAAACUGCCUGAUGGAGGGGGAUAACUACUGGAAACGGUAGCUAAUACCGCAUACCAUCGGAUGUGCCCAGAUAGGAUUAGCUUGUAGGUGAGGUAACGGCUCACCUAGGCGACGAUCCCUAGCUGGUCUGAGAGGAUGACCAGCCAGACUGGAACCUAGAAACUGUCCAGACACCUACGGGAGGCAGCAGUGGGGAAUAUUGCACAAUGGGCGCAAGCCUGAGGCAGCCAUGCCGCGUUUAUGAAGAAGGCCUUCGGGUUGUAAAGUACUUUCAGCGGGGAGGCGUUACCCGCAGAAGAAGCACCGGCUAACUCCGUGCCAGCCGCCGCGGUAAUAC
rnacentral:rRNA from 1 species